AUUGAACGCUGGCGGCAGGCUUAACACAUGCAAGUCGAACGGUAACAGGAAGAAACUUGUUUCUUUGCUGACGAGUGGCGGACGGGUGAGUAAUGCUUGGGAAUCUGCCUUAUGGAGGGGGAUAACUAUGGGAAACUGUAGCUAAUACCGCGUAAUAUCUUCGGAUUAAAGUAUGGGAUCUUCGGACCAUAUGCCAUAGGAUGAGCCCAAGUGAGAUUAGGUAGUUGGUGGGGUAAAGGCCUACCAAGCUUACGAUCUCUAGCUGGUUUGAGAGGAUGACCAGCCACACUGGGACUGAGACACGGCCCAGACUCCUACGGGAGGCAGCAGUGGGGAAUAUUGCACAAUGGGGGGAACCCUGAUGCAGCCAUGCCGCGUGAAUGAAGAAGGCCUUAGGGUUGUAAAGUUCUUUCAUUAGUGAGAAAGGAGUUGUUUCUAAUAGGGGCAACUAUUGAUGUUAGCUAAAGAAGAAGCACCGGCUAACUCCGUGCCAGCAGCCGCGGUAAUACGGAGGGUGCGAGCGUUAAUCGGAAUGACUGGGCGUAAAGGGCACGCAGGCGGUUAUUUAAGUCAGAUGUGAAAGCCCCGAGCUUAACUUGGGAAUUGCAUUUGAUACUGGGUAACUAGAGUCCUCUAGGGAGGGGUAGAAUUCCAUGUGUAGCGGUGAAAUGCGUAGAGAUGUGGAGGAAUACCGAAGGCGAAGGCAGCCCCUUGGAGAGAGACUGACGCUCAUGUGCGAAAGCGUGGGUAGCAAACAG
rnacentral:rRNA from 1 species